CAAUUUUCCGUCUAUAUUUCGGUGGCAAGGACGCGACUCUCUCUCGUUAGAUUUGUUGGAUCUCUUCCUACUCUUCAGAGACAUGGAUAGUAAGGAGCAAAGCGAGAGAUUGACGAACAUUCAAGCUGAAUUCGCCGAUUACUUGAAAGCAAAGUACUUCUCGGAUAAAGAUAUCUAUGGAGACUGGAUUAUAGAUUUCUUCAUCUGCAUGAAUAGAAAGUGAAUUCGAUAUGGAAUAAAAAUGAACUUGAUUAUCUCCAAUGUUUGUUUUGUCAAAGUGAAAAUAGUAAACAGACUUUGCUUUUGGUGGAUGUUUGCUAAAUUGUGUUGGCAAAUUGAGAAAUAUGAUGUUUAUUGUAAUCUGAUUAUAUUGUGGUCCUGAAAUUUGCAACAAUAUUUGUU